GUUGAACGCUGGCGGCAGGCCUAACACAUGCAAGUCGAACGAGUGGCGGACGGGUGAGUAAUGUCUGGGAAACUGCCUGAUGGAGGGGGAUAACUACUGGAAACGGUAGCUAAUACCGCAUACCAUCGGAUGUGCCCAGAUGGGAUGAGCUAGUAGGUGGGGUAACGGCUCACCUAGGCGACGAUCCCUAGCUGGUCUGAGAGGAUGACCAGCCACACGGGAACUGAGACACGGUCCAGACUCCUACGGGAGGCAGCAGUGGGGAAUAUUGCACAAUGGGCGCAAGCCUGAUGCAUCCAUGCCGCGUGUAUGAAGAAGGCCUUCGGGUUGUAAAGAACUUUCGGCGGGUAUGGUUGACCCGCAGAAGAAGCACCGGCUAACUCCGUGCCAGCAGCCGCGGUAAUAC
rnacentral:rRNA from 1 species